rnacentral:tRNA from 2 species
UGCGGGAUCGUCUAAUGGUAGGACACGGCCCUUUGAAGGCUGUUAUCGGGGUUCGAAUCCCUGUCCCGCAGCCG